UGGGGCGUCGUCUAACGGUAGGACCCGAGAUUUUGGAUCUCGUUGUCCAGGUUCGAAUCCUGGCGCCCCAGCCA
rnacentral:tRNA from 1 species